rnacentral:rRNA from 1 species
AGUGAACGCUGGCGGUAGGCCUAACACAUGCAAGUCGAACGGCAGCACAGUAAGAGCUUGCUCUUACGGGUGGCGAGUGGCGGACGGGUGAGGAAUACAUCGGAAUCUACUUUUUCGUGGGGGAUAAUGUAGGGAAACUUACGCUAAUACCGCAUACGACCUACGGGUGAAAGCAGGGGAUCUUCGGACCUUGCGCGAUUGAAUGAGCCGAUGUCGGAUUAGCUAGUUGGCGGGGUAAAGGCCCACCAAGGCGACGAUCCGUAGCUGGUCUGAGAGGAUGAUCAGCCACACUGGAACUGAGACACGGUCCAGACUCCUACGGGAGGCAGCAGUGGGGAAUAUUGGACAAUGGGCGAAAGCCUGAUCCAGCCAUACCGCGUGGGUGAAGAAGGCCUUCGGGUUGUAAAGCCCUUUUGUUGGGAAAGAAAAGCAGCAGGUUAAUACCCCGCUGUUCUGACGGUACCCAAAGAAUAAGCACCGGCUAACUUCGU